rnacentral:misc_RNA from 1 species
CGGCCUAUCCCUGUGUGCCACGAACUCCGUGUCAGGCGAAGCUUUGUUCUUGCUGAUCUCGUACAGCUCGUCUGGGUUCUCCGGGAGCUGCUGUUUCCUGUUCCUGACUGCGGCGACGUACACCUGGAAGAUCUCCUUCAGCGCACUGCUUCCCUGGACCGUGGCGAUGCGGUACCUCGGCAGGCCAGCGAUGAAGACGAUGACGGCGAGCCCCAUGACGCCCGUGGCGGCGGCGAACCCCUUCGCCCAUCCCUUAUUCUCCUGGAUCCACACGAACACGGUGACGCUGAAGGCGCCGCCGGUGCAGAGGCUAAGCAGCAGGUAGUUGAAGCA